AGGACGAACGCUGGCGGCGCGCCUCAUACAUGCAAGUCGAGCGAGAAAUCCGGGGCUUGCCCCGGGUGGAGAGCGGCGAACGGGUGAGGAACACGUGAGGAACCUGCCUCGAAGACCGGGAUAACACCGGGAAACCGGUGCUAAUACCGGAUGCCCUCACCGGAUCACAAGAUGCGGUGAGGAAAUGGAUUCCGCUUCGGGAUGGUCUCGCGGCCUAUCAGCUAGUUGGUGGGGUAACGGCCCACCAAGGCUUCGACGGGUAGCUGGUCUGAGAGGAUGUCCAGCCACACUGGGACUGAGACACGGCCCAGACUCCUACGGGAGGCAGCAGUAGGGAAUCUUGCGCAAUGGGCGAAAGCCUGACGCAGCGACGCCGCGUGCGGGAUGAAGGCCUUCGGGUGUAAACCGCUUUCAGCAGGGACGAAUUGACGGUACCUGCAGAAGAAGGCCCGGCCAACUACGUGCCAGCAGCCGCGGUAA
rnacentral:rRNA from 1 species